AUUGAACGCUGGCGGCAGGCUUAACACAUGCAAGUCGAACGAGUGGCGGACGGGUGAGUAAUGCUUUGGAAUCUAGCUUAUGGAGGGGGAUAACUCCUGGAACCUUUAGCUAAUACCGCGUACAAUUGGAUGAGCCCACGUGGGAUUAGAUAGUUGGUGGGGUAAAGGCUCACCAAGACGACGAUCGCUAGCUGGUCUGCGAGGAUGACCAGCCAAACUGGGACUGAGACACGGCCCAGACUCCUACGGGAGGCAGCAGUGGGGAAUAUUGCGCAAUGGGGGCAACCUGACGCAGCCAUGCCGCGUGAAUGAAGAAGGCCUUCGGGUUGUAAAGUUCUUUCGGUAGCGAGGCGUUAACUACAGAAGAAGCACCGGCUAACUCCGUGCCAGCAGCCGCGGUAAUAC
rnacentral:rRNA from 1 species